rnacentral:tRNA from 1 species
GCCGAGGUGGCGGAAUUGGUAGACGCGCUAGCUUCAGGUGCUAGUGAAUGUAUAUUCGUGCGAGUUCGAGUCUCGCUCUCGGCACCA